AUCGCUUCUCGGCCUCUUGGCUCAGAUCAAGUGUAGUGUCUGGCAUGACCAGCAGCAUAUCUGAGACGUCCCCCAUAGGGGGACCGUCUAUAUUAAAUGGAUUUUUGGAAGCUGGGAGAUGGAAGCGGGGCCUGCUCCGUUUUCGACGCAUCGACCCGGUAUUGCAGUACCUCCGGGAACGGUGCCCAUUUC